CGUAGCAUAUAGCUCAGUAACACGUGGCCAAACUACCCUACAGACCGCGAUAACCUCGGGAAACUGAGGCCAAUAGCGGAUACCACUCUCAGACUGGAGUGUCGAGAGUGGGAAACGUUCCGGCGCUGUAGGAUGUGGCUGCGGCCGAUUAGGUAGAUGGUGGGGUAACGGCCCACCAUGCCGAUAAUCGGUACAGGUUGUGAGAGCAAGAGCCCGGAGACGGUAUCUGAGACAAGAUACCGGGCCCUACGGGGCGCAGCAGGCGCGAAACCUUUACACUGCACGACAGUGCGAUAGGGGGACUCCGAGUGUGAGGGCAUAUAGCCCUCGCUUUUCUGUACCGUAAGGUGGUACAGGAACAAGGACUGGGCAAGACCGGUGCCAGCCGCCGCGGUAAUACCGGCAGUCCAAGUGAUGGCCGAUAUUAUUGGGCCUAAAGCGUCCGUAGCUUGCUGUGUAAGUCCAUUGGGAAAUCGACCAGCUCAACUGGUCGGCGU
rnacentral:rRNA from 1 species